rnacentral:rRNA from 1 species
UUAGAGUGUGAUCUUGGCUCAGGAUGAACGCUAGCUACAGGCUUAACACAUGCAAGUCGAGGGGAAACGACAUCGAAAGCUUGCUUUUGAUGGGCGUCGACCGGCGCACGGGUGAGUAACGCGUAUCCAACCUGCCCACCACUUGGGGAUAACCUUGCGAAAGUAAGACUAAUACCCAAUGACGUCUCUAGAAGACAUCUGAAAGAGAUUAAAGAUUUAUCGGUGAUGGAUGGGGAUGCGUCUGAUUAGCUUGUUGGCGGGGUAACGGCCCACCAAGGCAACGAUCAGUAGGGGUUCUGAGAGGAAGGUCCCCCACAUUGGAACUGAGACACGGUCCAAACUCCUACGGGAGGCAGCAGUGAGGAAUAUUGGUCAAUGGACGAGAGUCUGAACCAGCCAAGUAGCGUGCAGGAAGACGGCCCUAUGGGUUGUAAACUGCUUUUAUAAGGGAAUAAAGUGAGUCUCGUGAGACUUUUUGCAUGUACCUUAUGAAUAAGGACCGGCUAAUUCCGUGCCAGCAGCCGCGGUAAUACGGAAGGUCCGGGCGUUAUCCGGAUUUAUUGGGUUUAAAGGGAGCGUAGGCCGGAGAUUAAGCGUGUUGUGAAAUGUAGAUGCUCAACAUCUGAACUGCAGCGCGAACUGGUUUCCUUGAGUACGCACAAAGUGGGCGGAAUUCGUGGUGUAGCGGUGAAAUGCUUAGAUAUCACGAAGAACUCCGAUUGCGAAGGCAGCUCACUGGAGCGCAACUGACGCUGAAGCUCGAAAGUGCGGGUAUCGAACAGGAUUAGAUACCCUGGUAGUCCGCACGGUAAACGA